AUGAAACUGUGGCGCUACUACUCCCGCAUAAUAGUCCACGCCCUCGCCCGUCAGCGACUAGAGAUCGACGAGAAAAUGUCAGAAACCACUCGACGUCUACUUGCUUUAAUCGUCAUAGACCCCUCUAGCGAAAACGGCCGCUUGGUUUUGAACGGGCAUAUGGUUUGCUCGAUCUCGACCGGCUCCGCCGUCAUAGUUAACUUUACCUCGUCGCGUCAAAUCUCGCCGUUCGUCAGUCAGAGCGAAAGAAAGACGCGUUGGUCUCAUCCUGCCUGCUCUGCUAGCCGUUUCUUUGCGCCACUCCUCUGCCUCUGCAGCGAUACGUUCGUCCGUUCGUGUCGAGACGCGACAGGCAGAUUUGACGCAACGGGCGCUACUGGCCACCAUCUUUCCGCCCCGUUCAACGGCGGCAUCGAGUGCUAA
rnacentral:rRNA from 1 species